CCCUUAGAUGUUCUGGGCCGCACGCGCGCUACACGGAUGCAUUCAACGAGUCUAAAACCUGCUCUGAUAGGGGUGGGUAAUCUUUUGAAUGUGCAUCGUGAUUGGGAUAGAUGAUUGCAAUUUUUCAUCUUCAACGAGGAAUGCCUAGUAAACGCAAGUCAUCAGCUUGCAUUGAUUAAGUCCCUGCCCUUUGUACACACCGCCCGUCGCUACUACCGAUUGAACGUUUUAGUGAGGCAUUUGGACCGACGCAUCUCAGUUUAACCGCUGGUUUGUGUUGGAAAGACUUCCAAACUUGAGCGUUUAGAGGAAGUAAAAGUCGUAACA
rnacentral:rRNA from 1 species